UAGAAACUUGUUUUAUUUUUUACGACCCUAACGUAUUAUUAGUUUUUUACAAAGUUUAACGUAUGUUAACAAGGGUUUGUUGUAAAUUAAUUUCUCCUUAUAAUACUUUUUUUCUAAUAAAACCAGCAAGAAACACCUAUACAAAAUGCUAAAAUUGACAAUGCUCUUGAUAUUGUUAGGGUUUUUAUUUUUUCCUUCUCAUUUGUAUUGAUAGUAGAAUAUCAAUAACUAGAUAUAUUUUUUAUCAGAAACAAUCAAGAGGCAAUCCAACAAAAGUCCCCAUUUCCUACCACCUUCAGGCUCUGUAGAAGGUGACGGAGCAGCGUUGGAAUUGGUACUGGAUUACAUGCUAAGAAAGGUGAAGAACCCGCCAUGCUGGGCCUGUUGGAAGAAGGAGGAGGAAGCCACCCUCCUAUCGAGGCGGCCUUGAACCUGGUGAGAGAAUGUGGAGUUUGAUGAAGAAUCUGCUUUCCUUUCUGUGACCUGUUGCCUGAUCACCUGAACAUCCUCAGUUCACUCCACACAAGCAUCCUGCAUUGACCUAAUUAGAUCUAACUCUGUUAGAUCUAAUAUUUAGUAAGUGAGUGUGUUACUUGUUACUUGUGAU
rnacentral:lncRNA from 1 species